rnacentral:rRNA from 1 species
UGGGGAAUUUUGCACAAUGGGGGAAACCCUGAUGCAGCGACGCCGCGUGAUUUAGAAGGCCUUCUGGUUGUAAAAAUCUUUUCUAUGGGAAGAAAAUGACAGUACCAUAGGAAUAAGUACCGGCUAAUUACGUGCCAGCAGCCGCGGUAAUACGUAAGGUCCGAGCGUUGUCCGGAAUCAUUGGGCGUAAAGGGUACGUAGGCGGGUAAGCAAGUUAGAAGUGAAAUCCUAUAGCUCAACUAUAGUAAGCUUUUAAAACUGCUCAUCUUGAGGUAUGGAAGGGAAAGUGGAAUUCCUAGUGUAGCGGUGAAAUGCGCAGAUAUUAGGAGGAAUACCGGUGGCGAAGGCGACUUUCUGGCCAUAACCUGACGCUGAGGUACGAAAGCGUGGGUAGCAAACAGG